GUGCCUGUAGCUCAGUGGUAGAGCACCUGGUUGUGGUCCAGGAUGUCGCGGGUUCAAUCCCCGUCAGGCACCCCA
rnacentral:tRNA from 1 species